UGAGGAAUAUUGGUCAAUGGGCGGAAGCCUGAACCAGCCAUGCCGCGUGCAGGAAGACGGCCCUACGGGUUGUAAACUGCUUUUCCGGGGGAAGAAUAAUCCCGACGUGUCGGGAGACGACGGUACCCCGGGAAUAAGGAUCGGCUAACUCCGUGCCAGCAGCCGCGGUAAUACGGAAGGUCCAGGCGUUAUCCGGAUUUAUUGGGUUUAAAGGGAGCGUAGGCCGCUUGGUAAGCGGGCAGUGAAAUGCAGAGGCUCAACCUCUGACUUGCUGUUCGAACUGCCGGGCUUGAGUACGCACGAGGUAGGCGGAAUUUGUGGUGUAGCGGUGAAAUGCUUAGAUAUCACAAAGAACUCCAAUUGCGAAGGCAGUCUUCCAUACCGUAAUUGACGCUGAACUGCGAAGGUGUGGGGAUCAAACA
rnacentral:rRNA from 1 species